GGGUUGCCCCAAGCUUUUGCCCAAGCCCAACAUAAAUUUUAAUUCAAAUUUAAAAUUUUAGCCUAGUCCAAACUUGUGUUUCAAUAUAUAUUUGCCAAACUUCAAAUUUAAUGGGCUAGGCUAAGGAUGCUGGAUAGACCUAUCCCCCCCUAGUAAUUAUACUUAUUAUUCUAAAGAAUUACAAGUCUAUUCCCAGCUUGGAAACACCACUCAUCCAAAUUCCUAACAGCUUGUGGUGGUUAAGGGCUUGUAGUUCAAUGGCAUUACCCAACAUUCUCAUAUGAGAGGUUGGGGGUUCAAACCUCACUAGAAGUAACAUUGGGCAAGAGAAUUUCAUAAGUUCCUAUCUGAUCCACUCGCCACUUGGCCCUGUUGCUUAGUGGCUCCCCUUCCCCCACACUCAAAUUGCAGCCCUAGAGUGUGUGUGUGUGUGUUUUUUUUAAAAGAAAAGAAAAGAGUUAGUGGUGCGAUGGUUUCUCCAAUGCUCACUAGUAGAACACACGAAUAUUCAUAUAAUGAAACAGUGAGUGCAACGGUGAAUAAUAUACCCCCAGAUUAUGCCAGGAAGAGAAACAUACAACUGUGGUUAACCAUUGUUGGUCCAGUAGCUUCUCUAUUAAUUCUUACUUCAGUCUUGUUACUGUCCUAUCUACGAUGGAGAAAUCACUGCUUUAAAGGAGGAAGCAAGAAAGAUGGGAUCGUCCAAGGCAUGCAGUUGUUAAUGGAUGAGUUGAAUAAUUGUAUGACAACUAUUGAUGAAUUAAGCAAUGCAGGAAAGCUGAAGUUAAGGGGAAAAAGGGAUCGUGAAUUACCUUUUGUCAGUUUUUCUACAGAGUACUUCUCUGAGAAAUAAAAUAGGUCAGGGUGGUUAUGGACCUGUUUAUAAGGGAGUGUUGAUUAAUGGGCAAGAAAUCGCAAUAAAAAGACUUUCUAGCUGCUCAAGACAAGGUUCAGAGGAGUUCAAGAAUGAAGUUAUAUUGAUCUCAAGGCCACAAUAUCGCAAUAUUGUCAGACUUUUGGGUUGUUACAUGCAAAAAGAUGAGAGAAUAUUAAUAUACGAGUAUUUGCCAAACAAAAGCUUGGAUUUCUUUUUAUUCGGUUUGUUUCUUCGCUAACUUUAGGUCGAUUGAGCUUCUUAUUUCGUUCUUGGUCUCUAGUGUGCCAAUGUUUAUUUAUUUUCUCUAUACAAAUUUUGUGGCAGAUGUAACAAAACAGCAUUUACUAGAUUGGAAAAUGCGUGUCAGCAUCAUCAGAGGAAUUGCUCAGGGGCUAUUGUACCUACACAAGUACUCUAGAUUAAGAAUCAUUCAUAGGGAUUUGAAAACAAACAACAUUUUAUUGGACAAUGACAUGAACCCAAAAAUAUCUGACUUUGGCACUGCUAGAAUUUUUGGUGACAAUGAAAAUCAAGCAAAUACAAACAAAAUUGUUGGGACAUAGUAGGUGAGAUAGCUCUUUCGAAUAUGUAGAUAUAAAAUUUCUUUAUAAAUAUCUCAAAUGCAUUGGAUUUUUAUAAUAAUAUAAAUCAAUUGAAUGAUGGAAACAGUGGUUACAUGUCUCCUGGUAUGCUAUGGAUGGUCUCUUUUUGUAAAGUCUGAUGUUUUCAGUUUUUGAGUUAUGAUGCUAGAGAUUAUAAGUGAGAAGAGGAACACAGGUUUCUAUCGUCUUAGUUGUGCUUUGAAUUUGAUAGGAUAUGUGAGUAAUUGCAAUUCAGUCCAAUUUCGUAAAAUUUGCCUGUUUGUUUUCCUAGACUGACCUUGUAUGAUAUUUUCAUGAACCUUUUUAGGCAUGGAACUUGUGGAAAGAGGCAAAGGGUUCAGAGUUAGUGGAUCAAGCACUAGCUGACGCAUGUUCCAUAAGUGAGGCUAUGCGAAACAUUCAAGUUGGUCUUUUGUGCGUUCAAGAAAUUGCAACCGAUAGACCAAACAUGUUAGAUGUUGUGUCUAUGCUUACUAGGAAUGGCAAU